GUGGCGAAAGGGUGAGUAAUGGGUAGGUAACGUACCUCGAACAUCGGGAUAGCGUCUGUUUGCCUUCGGGCAAGCUUCCGAAAGGGGCAGUAAUACCGAAUAAUAUCAUAUGCCGAUAGGCAUCUGAUCAAAGAUUUAUCGGUUCGAGAGCGGCCUACCCCCUAUCAGCUUGUUGGUGAGGUAAUGGCUCACCAAGGCAAUGACGGGUAGCGGGACUGAGAGGUUGGCCCGCCACAUCGGGACUGAGACACUGCCCGGACCUCCACGGAGGGCUGCAGUAACGAAUCUUGCGCAAUGGGCGAAAGCCUGACGCAGCGACGCCGCGUGCGGGAAGAAGUCCUUAGGGAUGUAAACCGCUGUCAGGGGGAAGAAAGUGCGCUCCGGCGUAUUGAUCUAACCCAAAGGAAGUCACGGCUAACUACGUGCCAGCAGCCGCGGUAAUACGUAGGUGGCUAGCGUUGUUCGGUAUUACUGGGCUUAAAGCGUGUGUAGGCGGAAAAGUAAGCGUCAUGUGAAAUCCCUCGGCUUAACCGAGGAAUUGCUUGGCGAACUGCUUUUCUUGAGGCAAGUAGGGGUGCAUGGAACUCUUGGUGGAGCGGUGGAAUGCGUAGAUAUCAAGAGGAACGCCGGUAGUGAAAACGGUGCACUGGGCUUGUUCUGACGCUGAGACACGAAAGCGUGGGUAGCGAACGGGAUUAGAUACCCCGGUAGUCCACGCCGUAAACGAUGCCUACUAGGUUGUGGUGGUUCUGACACCAGCACAGCCGAAGCAAAAGUGUUAAGUAGGCCGCCUGGGGAGUACGGUCGCAAGGCUAAAACUCAAAGGAAUUGACGGGGGCUCACACAAGCGGUGGAGCAUGUGGAUCAAUUCGAAGCAACGCGUAGAACCUUACCUGGGUUUGACAUGCUUGGAUGCUUGCUUGGAAACAGGUUAAGCUGCCCUUCGGGGUGAAACUUGCACAGGUGCGGCAUGGCUGUCGUC
rnacentral:rRNA from 1 species